GAUGAACGCUGGCGGCGUGCCUAAUACAUGCAAGUCGAGCGAACAGACGAGGAGCUUGCUCCUUUGACGUUAGCGGCGGACGGGUGAGUAACACGUGGAUAACCUACCUAUAAGACUGGGAUAACUUCGGGAAACCGGAGCUAAUACCGGAUAACAUGUUGAACCGCAUGGUUCAACAGUGAAAGACGGUCUUGCUGUCACUUAUAGAUGGAUCCGCGCCGCAUUAGCUAGUUGGUAAGGUAACGGCUUACCAAGGCAACGAUGCGUAGCCGACCUGAGAGGGUGAUCGGCCACACGGGAACUGAGACACGGUCCAGACGCCUACGGGAGGCAGCAGUAGGGAAUCUUCCGCAAUGGGCGAAAGCCUGACGGAGCAACGCCGCGUGAGUGAAGAAGGUCUUCGGAUCGUAAAACUCUGUUGUUAGGGAAGAACAAAUGUGUAAGUAACUAUGCACGUCUUGACGGUACCUAAUCAGAAAGCCACGGCUAACUACGUG
rnacentral:rRNA from 1 species